UGGAAGCACAAGGAAACUUGCAUUUUCACAUUCAGUCUUUGAAUAAUCCUGUUUUGUUUAUCCUUUAGAAAGUAAACCGCAGAAAGAGACUGGAAUGAGGAAAUGGAAAGCUGACCAGAGAGGCUGGACAGCUUCUUGUUCCUGACACUGGUCUGGAGGUCCUUGCACCAGAAGACAGCCUUUGUCCGCUGAUGGGAAUGAGGUAGCGGGCAGCCAAGCCACAUAACGGGAGCCUGGAGAAAGACGUCUUGGGCAAUUUGCACAAGAGUUUCCUUCUUUAAAACAUCACACGUUUCAUUUCAGAUACCUGGGGCUGUUUCUGCAAUGACUAAAAUCGGUUACAUGGAAGAGUGACUUUGGCUGUGUUUGGAUGGUCAGCUCCUCCUGGUAAGAAUCCUGAGUUGGU
rnacentral:lncRNA from 1 species